rnacentral:rRNA from 1 species
AAUCUUCCGCAAUGGACGAAAGUCUGAGUGAGCAACGCCGCGUGAGUGAUGAAGGCUUUCGGAUCGUAAAACUCUGUUUUUAGGGAAGUACAAGUAUCGGAGUCACUGCCGGUACCUUUACUGUACCUGACGAACUAGCCACGGCUAACUACCUGCCAGCCGCCGCGGUCAUACGUAGGUGGCACGCGUUGUCAGGAAUUAUCGGGCGUAAAGCGCGAGCAGGCGGUCGUUUAAGUCGGAUGUGAAAGCCCACGGCUCAACCGUGGAGGGUCAUUGGAAACUGGGGGACUUGAGUGAAGAAGAGGAAAGUGGAAUUCCAAGUGUAGCGGUGAAAUGCGUAGAGAUUUGGAGGAACACCAGUGGCGAAGGCGACUUUCUGGUCUGUAACUGACGCUGAGGCGCGAAAGCGUGGGGAGCAAACA